CUCAGCCUGUAAAGAAUCCGCCAGCAAUAUAAGACACAAACAGGAGAUGUACAUUCGAUCUCUGGGUCAGGAAGACCCCAUGGAGGAGAAAAUGGCAACCCACUCCAGUAUUCUUGCCUGAAAAAUCCCAUGGACAGAGAAGCCUGAUGGGCUAUAUAGUCCAUAAGGAUCGCAGAGUCAGACAUGACUGAGCGACUAAACAAAAGCAAAAAAAAAAAAAAAAUACCCCAAUACAAAAUAAAAAAUUUAAAAAAAGAAAGUGACUUUCUUAAGAUCACCUAACGGUGGUUGAAACUGGAGCCGAUUAUACAGAGUGAACUUGCAGGACUCAACACUGGCAGAAGGGAACACUGUCCAAAACUUGGAAGAUCACCCCUUCAGAGGAAACAAGGCCAGGAGGUGGUCUGGGAUGCGUUGUCACAGGAGCCAGGAUAGGCAGAAAAGACAGUCUAUCCACACCAGAAGGUUCUCAUUCUGAAGAGAUAUGAAAGUGACCUGUGGGAUUUUUCUGAAGUGCUGCUGGCUGGGAACUGCUGGAGGUGCAGUGGGUCUUACCCUAGUGUGUGGAGCUAAGUGAUUUCUGAUCUCUGAAGAAAGACUCACACUAACUGCAGCGUCGUCCGGCUCUGCCUCCCUUGCUGUGCUGUCGUUCCAGUGGAACGUCUCUGUUCUCAGUUUCAGCGCAGGGGAUCUUCUAGACCCAGAAACUGAACCUGUGUCUCCUGCAUUGGCAGGCGGAUUCUUCACCACCGAGCCAUCUGGGAAGCCCCGUGUUAUCCAUUACAUUCCCAUUUAGGAGGAGACAAUCCUGGCCGACCUCAUAAAGCCCUUUCAGGUUUCUGAGUCCUAUCUGAGGCCUGUUAAGCUUUGCCAUUCUAAAGAAAAUGCAAGUCUGCAGGGCUCCCGGGAAAGCAUCCUCAUCGUCCUUUUAGGUGCCUGUGGCCGAUCCUAGCUGCAUCCACUUAUAACAGAGGAUCACCCCUCUAUUCUCCAGCUGCCCUUCCCCUUGAUGAGUCAUGUGACUAAUUCUGGCCAAAGGAUGGUGGAUGAGCAAGACGUGCGUCCCUUCCAGACCGAGGUGUCCACUAGACACGUUCUGCUCUGCAUCUGCCAGCUGACUCAGUCCAAAAGAUGGCAGAGUCUCAAGUUGGACGCAGCCCAGGCCCCCUGAGAGGGCCCUGGAGGACAGCCACUCUGAGAAGGGCUGCAGAGAGGAGUACAUGACUACGUGGCCCUGGGAAGCCACGCAGGACCCAUCAGGCCUUCAGCAUGUGAAAUCUUAGUUCCCUGACCAAGGACUGAACCUGUGCCACCUGCAUUGGGGGCACAGAGUCUUAACCACUGGACCACCAGGGAAGUCCCCCUAGAAGCUCUUGUUUUGACUGCACUUUCACGUAUUCAUAUAAUGACUGUCAGCCUCUCAACAACCACGUGAACAUGUACCAUCCUCCUCAUUUUCCAGCACUUUCCAGCACCUUCCAGAACAGCUCUAGGAGUCAGCACAUUAUAUUAGAAAGCUGCCAUUGGAAUCCCACUCUCAUCGAUUCUUUGAGCAAUUUCUGAAAAACACUUGAAGCCUCAGUUUCUCAUCUAAAAUAAGAGAUCGCCCUGCCGAGAGAUGGGCCGGCCCGGCGGCGCGCGGGCAGCAAGCGGCGGCGGCGGCGGCGGCGGCGGCCCAAGAUGGUGGAGCUGCAGCUCGACCCGGCCAUGG
ensembl:lncRNA